GGAAGGUUUAGAUGAGAUUCGCUGUCUAGCUGAUGCUGAAAAUCCCAGUGGAGAAAACGUUUCCAAUUACACAAAUGCGAGAAGCCCAUGAGGCCAAGGAGAAGAGGCUAAUACAAGGUAAAGUUGUGCUGGAUCUCGAUGAGUUCAAACCUACAGUCCACGAACUAUUGCUGUAUGUCAACUUGUGUUUCUAUAAUUGGCGAGCAUUAAUGGUUAUUUAGUUUUGGUGGUGGUUACGGAUCGCGGCCCUUAGAUGCAGAGUAAAAUAAAGAUGGGGAAGAUGAGUAGCUGAAAACUACUAAGGAUCAAAAUGUCUAUUAUAGCAGUUCGAAUUUUGUAAUUAUUGAUGUUCGUAAUUUAUUUUUGGUCUCUCUCAAGGCAUCAACUAAUGUCACGUGAUCCUUGGAUUCUUUUCCUUCUGUUUCACCUCGUCAGUAUAGACCUUU
rnacentral:lncRNA from 1 species